GUGUGAUCUUCUGGAGAGUCCACACUGUAGACUGGAGACUCUGAGAUGGAAGUGAUCUCCGUCAGAGUGUGAGUGAUGAGAAAGGUAGUGGUGUUGAGAGGGGUUCAGUUGUGUCCUGACAAUCCAGAGAGGUUGAAGCAGCAGCAUCAGCUUGAGUGUGGAGAAGCUCUGACUGGGCCAUGUUACUGGGAGGUAGAGUGGAGGGGAGAGCUUCAUCCAGCGGUGACUGACAGAGGAAUCACAACAGUGCUGCAGCCUGAACUGCUCUGAGAUCAGCUCCACUGUCAGACACAAAGUCAAGUCCACCAUCAUCCCUGUGUGUUCCUCUGAAUGUGACAGAGUAUCAUCAGUGGAUCUGGACUGCUCUGCUGCUGCUCUGUCACAGUUUCUGCAGACACACUGAGACUCCUCCACUCCUUCUGCUCCACACUCAGCCAUCUCCUCCAGCUGGACCUGGACUUUAUUUUAAAAGUAAACAAAUAUAUAAUUCUGCACUAAUAAUAAUAUCAAUAAUAUCUGACCGAAAUAGUCUAUUUUACGAAAUAGUCUAUUUUAUCCCAACAGAUUGUGUUGUUGCAGAAAACUGAACUAAAGAACUGCAAAGUCUGGUGACACUUAUCUGCAGGUUUGUCACUAUGAAAGACCUCUUUCACUUUCACGUCGUUAUCUAAUCCAUUGUUAAUAUGAAAAUAUUGAUUAGAGUCGUUUUUAGUCACUGAUAUGUAUCUGGAUGUUAGUGAAAAGCCAGUGCUGUUUUAAACCUUGAUGACACACUGAACACCAGAACAUUUUAAUAACUUGUUAUAGGAUAUGUUUUUAUUUUGACAUUAAAUUAAUCAGCAAAAAAAUUAUAUGUAAGUACUAACUCUAAACUUUAGUGUCAUUAUUAGUGAUUAAGAUUAUUUACUUGUGUAUAUUUGUCCUGUUUUCUCAUUUCAGUUUAUAUUGUUGCAGAACGAACACAAAUCCUGAUAUUCAAAUCCCAUCUUCCUUCUCAUGUAAUGAAAACUUCCCUAAUCAUGCUAAUAUAAAUAUAAAUGUCCUGCAUGUUGGUGUAAAUAAAGCCCAGUUAUUGAAUUA